GAUGAACGCUGGCGGCGUGCCUAAUACAUGCAAGUCGAGCGAACAGACGAGGAGCUUGCUCCUCUGACGUUGUCGGCGGACGGGUGAGGAACACGUGGUUAACCUACCUAUAAGACUGGGAUAACUUCGGGAGACCGUAGCUAAUACCGGAUAAUAUAUUGAACCUCAUGGUUCAAUAGUGGAAGACGGUUUUUCUUUCACUUAUAGAUUGAUCCGGGCCGCAUUAGCUAGUUGGUAAGGUAACGGCUUACCAAGGCUAGGAUGGGUAGCCGACCUGAGAGGGAGAUCGGCCAGACUGGAACUGAGACACGGUCCAGACUCCUGCGGGAGGAAGCAGUAGGGAAUCUUACGCAAUGGACGAAAGCCUGAUGGUGCAACGCCGCGUGAGUGAUGAAGGUCUUAGGCUGGUAAAACUAUGUUAUUAGGGAGGAAGAAAUGUGUAAGUAACCAUGAACGUCUUGACGGUACCUAAUCAGAAAGCCACGGCUAACUACGUG
rnacentral:rRNA from 1 species